AUCUACGGCCAUGCUACCCUGAACAAGCCUGAUCCCGUCUGAUCUCAGAAGCUAAGCAGGGUCAGGCCUGGUUAGUACUUGGAUGGGAGACCACCUAGGAAGACCAGAUGCUGUAGGUG
rnacentral:rRNA from 1 species